GCAAAGAGAAAGUCCUACUGCUGGUUCCAAACACCUAAUGGGAGAGGAGCACAAAGACAGAUCCAGGCUCUUUGCAGAAGAGCCCAGUGACAGGACAAGCAGCAGUAACCACAAGUUAGAUAAUUUAGAAUUCUUAUUAGAUAUACUGAAAAAUGUUUCCCCUGUGUAGGUGGCCAAAUACUGGAAAGGCUGGAGAUUUCAAAACUGGAAUGGAUCAAACUGACAGGCGGUGCAACUGACAGGCGGUGACCAUGGGAUUUCUUUCAAUCUGGAGUAACAAUGUACAGGAACAGUUCUGCAAUUUCCCACCUGAGAAGACCUGAUAAAGCAGGAGUUGAAUCUCCAGAAAGACACUGGAAAAUCUCAGUUACUCUAGAGAGCUACACACAAACAGCUCACAAGGCUGAACUGUAAGCCCUGCAAACCUAAAAAGGGUUAAAAGCCUUUUCUACAGAAAAAGGAAGAGGUUAGCCCUUAAAGACCAUAUAAGCUGCAAAACCUGGCAGUUGUGGCUUGUUAAACUGCUGGGAGGUGGAACUGGCAGCUGUGCUGCCGAAGUGGGGAAGUCAUAAAGGGAAGCAGAGGGCCCCAGAGGGAGCAGGACAGUUGGGUUUUGCAUUUCUCUGCUUUGGAGAAUUGACUUUGUUUGAAUGAAAAUGGACGCUGCUACUGCUGGAUGCUGAUCCUAGGGACACUUAGUUGGUUUGUUUAUGGAGAGCCAAACAAGGUGACAAUCAGCUGUCCUGGCUUCCACUGUUUUUAGGAUUGUGAAUACAGGAUCUGCACCUGGCUGUACUAAUUUCCCAGGCCUAGACUGAAGUGGGAUGCUAUUUUUUCACCCUUGAAAAAAACACAACCAAACAAAAAAGAGAAAGCAUCACUUACGUUAGUUGCCUGAUCUCAAUUUGGAGCUGAUAAUCUCUUUGCAGGGCUUUGGUUUUGUACUGUGCUUCCUGUUGAGGAACAAAAAUAAACUGGUUACUGCUUAAAAUGAAA